rnacentral:rRNA from 1 species
UUGUAAGAGAAGAACGAGUGUGAGAGUGGAAAGUUCACACUGUGACGGUAUCUUACCAGAAAGGGACGGCUAAGUA